UACGGAGGGGGCUAGCGUUGUUCGGAAUUACUGGGCGUAAAGCGCGCGUAGGCGGCUUUGUAAGUUAGAGGUGAAAGCCCGGAGCUCAACUCCGGAACUGCCUUUAAGACUGCAUCGCUAGAAUUGUGGAGAGGUAAGUGGAAUUCCGAGUGUAGAGGUGAAAUUCGUAGAUAUUCGGAAGAACACCGGUGGCGAAGGCGGCUAUCUGGACCGUAACUGACGCUGAGGCGCGAAAGCGUGGGGAGCAAACAGG
rnacentral:rRNA from 1 species